CAGUCGCCGCGGUAAAACGUAGGGUGCGAGCGCUAAUCGGAAUUACUGGGCGUAAAGCGUGCGCAGGCGGUUCGUUAAGACAGAUGUGAAAUCCCCGGGCUUAACCUGGGAACUGCAUUUGUGACUGGCGAGCUAGAGUAUGGCAGAGGGGGGUAGAAUUCCACGUGUAGCAGUGAAAUGCGUAGAGAUGUGGAGGAAUACCGAUGGCGAAGGCAGCCCCCUGGGCCAAUACUGACGCUCAUGCACAAAAGCGUGGGGAGCAAACAGGAUUAGAUACCCGCGUAGUCCCUGUCUCUUAUAC
rnacentral:rRNA from 1 species